CAGAGGAGAUGGUGUUGUGCAGCUCCCGCCCCUGCUCAAGGCAGACUCCUCCACAGUGCCCAUGGAGCCUCCCUUCCAACCCUCCUCAUGCACUGGGUCCCUUCCUUAGAGUCCCUCGACCGGCAAUCCCCAGCCUCAUGCUCGGGAUCACCACAGCUCUAUACCCCCAGUGUAUAAGCCCGCUCGCUUCCUCUCAGCUGCGGAAAAGAAACAUCAAACAAGCAGGAGCUGGUGGUGUUGCUGGGGACCAUGGGGGCGCCAUCUGGGCGAUCGCUUGAGGAGAGAGACAGGAACAGCGUGCCUGCAUUCUGUGGAAGGCCAAGGAUGCAGGGAAUGGUCCUCUGUGCCCUAGGUCGUGGGAAGGCUCACGCCACAGAGGCCUUGGACGCUGCGUUCCAGGAAAUGGACAAGGAUCUGUUUAUGGCACAGGAUGUUUCUCCUUUCCCUCCUUGGGAGAGAGCCUGCUGCAUGCCGCCCCGAGGGCGAAAUUGUGCUGAUGCAGGCAGAUAGACUCUCACUGACUCAGCGAGAGUGGUCGGGGUGUUAUUUGCAGGAAAUAGAAGCCGCAGGACAGGGCGGAGAGAGCUUCCUUCUCUGCUGGCGGAAGGGCUUCCCUCUGGCGCCCCAGCUUCUGAACGCUCACUUGUUCUCUUUGUGUUUAUUCGUUGCACGCUGUCCCAUCUUCACCCUGUGCAGAUCUAGGCAAGCGGCGCCCGCUUACCUAGAACCUGGAGAGGAAGGCUCGCGGAGUUAGCAGAAGUGAAAAUACAUCGGAGCAGGCGGCAGCGGGAGCGCAGAGCGUCUGGAGCCAGAGCGUCUGGAGCCGCGACUGACGUUACAAGCACGGAAGAGGCUGGGUGAACUGGGUGACACAGAGCUGCAGCAGCUGAAAGAUACAGUGAUGUGGCUUGGAGAUCAGAUAAAUACUGUAGAAAUAAAAAGUCCCAAAUACGUUGUCAUUAGGCCUUUUCCACCGUAUGUCUCUGAUGUUAUUCACAUCUCUUGACAUCAGUCGCUGACAACAACAAAUCUGAUACCUUCAAAGUGCUCAUCACGACGCUUCCACUACAGAACCGUGGCAAGAUACAAAACGCCUUUUCCUUACGUGGAUCAAUACUCAUUUUUCACUUACAUGUGCUGCGUUUCUUGUCUUAUUAA